rnacentral:rRNA from 1 species
AUAUCACUAGGCGGAGGAAAAGAAACUAACGAGGAUUCCCUUAGUAACGGCGAGUGAACAGGGAAGAGCCCAGCACCGAAUCCUUCGGCGUCGCGCCGUUAGGAACUGUGGUGUGUAGGAGAGCACGUCCGUUGCGGUCGCCAUCCUAAUUCCUCUUGACCGGGGAUCCCGCAGAAGGUGCAAGGCCUGUGCGGAUGGGGUCCGUAGCGGUAUGAGCCUCCUUGGAGUCGGGUUGCUUGAAAGUGCAGCCCAAAGCGGGUGGUAAACCCCAUCUAAGGCUAAAUAUGACCACGAGACCGAUAGCGCACAAGUA